AUACCCACAUCGAAACAUUGGUUAAUGCCGGAUGCGCAUGAGAUCGCAUGAUCGAGGUGUGAAAGGGGCCUCUAAAGCCCCACUAAGAGAUGAGGGUGCGGAACAUUAGCUAGUUGGUAAGGUAAUGGCUUACCAAGGCUAUGAUGUUUAGCCGGGUCGAGAGACUGAACGGCCACAUUGGGACUGAGAUACGGCCCAAACUUCUACGGGAGGCAGCAGUAGGGAAUAUUCCACAAUGAGCGAAAGCUUGAUGGAGCGACACAGCGUGCACGAUGACGGUCUUCGGAUUGUAAAGUGCUGUUAUAAGGGAAGAACACUUAGUUGAGGAAAUGCUUCUAAGCUGACGGUACCUUGUCAGAAAGCGAUGGCUAACUAUGUGCCAGCAGCCGCGGUAAUACAUAGGUCGCAAGCGUUAUCCGGAAUUAUUGGGCGUAAAGCGUUCGUAGGCUGUUUGUUAAGUCUGGAGUCAAAGCCCGGGGCUCAACCCCGGUCCGCUUUGGAUACUGGCAAACUAGAGUUAGAUAGAGGUAAGCGGAAUUCCAUGUGAAGCGGUGAAAUGCGUAGAUAUAUGGAAAGAACACCAAAGGCGCAGGCAGCUUACUGGGUCUAUACUGACGCUGAGGGACGAAAGCGUGGGGAGCAAACAGGAUUAGAUACCCUGGUAGUCCACGCCGUAAACGAUGAUCAUUAGUCGGUGGAGAAWUCACUGACGCAGCUAACGCAAUAAAUGAUCCGCCUGAGUAGUAUGCUCGCAGAGUGAAACUUAAGGAAUUGACGGGGACCCGCACAAGCGGUGGAGCAUGUGGUUGUUAAUUUGAGAUACACGGAGACCUUACCACUCUGACAUCUCGCA
rnacentral:rRNA from 1 species